rnacentral:rRNA from 1 species
AGUGAACGCUGGCGGCGUGCCUAAUACAUGCAAGUCGAACGGAGUGGCGCACGGGCGGGUAAUGUAUGGGUAAUCUGCCCUCCACUAGGGGAGAACCGUUGGUAACGGACGCUUAUACUCUCCAGUGUAGGAUGAGGCUAUAUUGGAUCAAAUGGGUGGUGAGGUAAUGGCUCACCAAGGGUAUGACGCAUAACUGGUCUGGGAGGACGAUCAGUCACACUGGAACUGAGACACGGUCCAGACUCCUACAGGAGGCAGCAGUAGGGAACAUUGCUCAAUGGGGGAAACCAUGAAGCCGCAACGCUGCGUGGAGGAUGUCACUUUUCGGAGAGUAAACUCCUUUUGUUAGGGAAGCGGUACCUAACGAAUAAGCACCGGCUAACUACGUGCCAGCAGCCGCGGUAAUAC